GUCGUAUAUAAAGUCGUAAAAUUUCAUAAAUUUGUCACCUGUCUGUUAACCUUCAUAGGCCACAAAAGGAUGAAACUACUGAAGAGUGCGAUUGGGCUGCUGUUGAUCAUUUCGAUGAUUGCGAUAGCCGCAGGACAAUCUUCCAAAUAUGUCUGUCCGGACGAUACGGAUUGCUUGAGAAACUGCAAAACUUUCUACUUCGGAUUUAAGAGAGGGGUAUGUAAUAAUGGCGAGUGUAACUGUUACGUCGAAUGAGGUAGAACAGCCCGCUACUUGAUCGUUGUGCAUCAUUUGCCAAUUGUAAUCCGAGACGAAUUAAAUUUUGAACCGAAA